AUGAACAUGUACAACUAUCGUCGCCCCGAAGAUGUUGGAUUCGCCAAGAUCGCGAGUACCACUACCGUCGACCUGAACAUCUACGAAAAUGUGUACAACUACCGUCGCCGUGUACCACUACUUCCACUACCGUUGACAUGCACGACUACGAAACGUGAACGACUACCGUUGCCGAGACCGCAAGUACCACGACAACCCCGAAGGGAUUCGAAUCCGUCAAGUUCAUCUACGAAACGAGUACCACUACUUCCCUCGACGACUCGAACCGCUCCGAAAACGCACGCUUUGAAGGAAAUCAAUACCAAACGGAGUCCAAAAGCAGCAAAACUUUUUGAGGAUUUUUUGGGUCAGAAGAUAUCCAGUGGGCCAAGAAAGCACCUGGGGGUGCCUCAAGGGGGCAGCACCCAACAGGGCGCGCCUGGGGGCCAAGGCACGCCCAGGUGGGCUGUGCUCACCUCGGGUGCCCCCUGA
rnacentral:rRNA from 1 species